rnacentral:rRNA from 1 species
GAUGAACGCUAGCGGCAGGCCUAAUACAUGCAAGUCGAGGGGCAGCGCAGUGUGGCAAUACAUGGGCGGCGACCGGCAAACGGGUGCGGAACACGUACAGAACCUUCCUUCGAGCGGGGAAUAGCCCAGAGAAAUUUGGAUUAAUACCCCAUAGUAUUACUGGAUGGCAUCAUUUAGUAAUUAAAGAUUUAUCACUUGAAGAUAGCUGUGCGUAUGAUUAGGUAGUUGGCGGGGUAACGGCCCACCAAGCCUACGAUCAUUAACUGGUGUGAGAGCACGACCAGUCACACGGGCACUGAGACACGGGCCCGACUCCUACGGGAGGCAGCGGUAAGGAAUAUUGGUCAAUGGACGCAAGUCUGAACCAGCCAUGCCGCGUGGAGGAUGAAGGUCCUCUGGAUUGUAAACUUCUUUUAUCUGGGACGAAAAAAGGCCUUUCUAGGUCGACUGACGGUACCAGAUGAAUAAGCACCGGCUAACUCCGUGCCAGCCGCCGCCGUAAAAC